GCGUAAUUGGUUUAGUGGUAAAAUUCUCCGUUGCCAUCCAGUUUCCUACGAAACUAGUAAGCUCGGGGAGCCCUGGGUUCGAUUCCCAGAUUACGCA
rfam:Fusarium poae strain 2516 chromosome FPOA_3 Chr3, whole genome shotgun sequence.